CCUACGGGAGGCAGCAGUGAGGAAUUUUCCGCAAUGGGCGAAAGCCCGACGGAGCAAUACCGCGUGAGGGAUGAAGGAUUUUGGUCUGUAAACCUCUUUUCUCAAGAAAGAAGUUCUGACGGUACUUGAGGAAUAAGCAUCGGCUAACUCCGUGCCAGCAGCCGCGGUAAUACGGGGGAUGCAAGCGUUAUCCGGAAUGAUUGGGCGUAAAGCGCCUGUAGGUUGUUUAUUAAGUCCGUUGUUAAAGCCUAGGGCUCAACCCUAGAAAAGCAAUGGAAACUAGUAGACUAGAGUAUGGCAGGGGUAGAGGGAAUUUCUAGUGUAGCGGUGAAAUGCGUAGAUAUUAGAAAGAACACCGGUGGCGAAAGCGCUCUACUGGACCAUUACUGACACUCAGAGGCGAAAGCUAGGGUAGCAAAAGGGAUUAGAUACCCCUGUAGUCCUAGCCGUAAACGAUGGAUACUAGAUGUUGUGCAUUAUGUACAGUAUCGUAGCUAACGCGUUAAGUAUCCCGCCUGGGGAGUACGCUCGCAAGGGUGAAACUUAAGAAUUGACGG
rnacentral:rRNA from 1 species